CGCGCAGGCGGUCCUUUAAGUCUGAUGUGAAAGCCCACGGCUCAACCGUGGAGGGUCAUUGGAAACUGGGGGACUUGAGUACAGAAGAGAAGAGUGGAAUUCCACGUGUAGCGGUGAAAUGCGUAGAGAUGUGGAGGAACACCAGUGGCGAAGGCGACUCUUUGGUCUGUAACUGACGCUGAGGCGCGAAAGCGUGGGGAGCAAACA
rnacentral:rRNA from 1 species